rnacentral:rRNA from 1 species
ACGGGAGGCAGCAGUGGGGAAUAUUGGGCAAUGGGCGAAAGCCUGACCCAGCGACGCCGCGUGAAGGAAGAAGGUCCUCGGAUUGUAAACUUCUUUUAUAUGGGACGAAACAAAUGACGGUACCAUAUGAAUAAGCCACGGCUAACUACGUGCCAGCAGCCGCGGUAAUACGUAGGUGGCGAGCGUUAUCCGGAUUUACUGGGUGUAAAGGGUGUGUAGGCGGGACUGCAAGUCAGAUGUGAAAACUAUGGGCUUAACUCAUAGCCUGCAUUUGAAACUGUAUCUCUUGAGUGCUGGAGAGGUAGAUGGAAUUCCUUGUGUAGCGGUGAAAUGCGUAGAUAUAAGGAAGAACACCAGUGGCGAAGGCGAUCUACUGGACAGUAGCUGACGCUGAGGCGCGAAAGCGUGGGGAGCAAACAGGAUUAGAUACCCUGGUA